rnacentral:misc_RNA from 1 species
GAUGAAGAACGUAGCGAAAUGCGAUAAGUAGUGUGAAUUGCAGAAUUCAGUGAAUCAUCGAAUCUUUGAACGCACAUUGCGCCCUUUGGUAUUCCAAAGGGCAUGCCUGUUCGAGCGUCAUUUGUACCCUCAAGCUUUGCUUGGUGUUGGGCGUCUUGUCUCUAGCUUUGCUGGAGACUCGCCUUAAAGUAAUUGGCAGCCGGCCUACUGGUUUCGGAGCGCAGCACAAGUCGCACUCUCUAUCAGCAAAGGUCUAGCAUCCAUUAAGCCUUUUUUUCAACUUUUGACCUCGGAUCAGGUAGGAAUACCCGCUGAACUUAAGCAUAUCAAUAAGCGAGGA